GAUGAAGAACGUAGCGAAAUGCGAUAAGUAGUGUGAAUUGCAGAAUUCAGUGAAUCAUCGAAUCUUUGAACGCACAUUGCGCCCCUUGGUAUUCCAUGGGGCAUGCCUGUUCGAGCGUCAUUUGUACCUUCAAGCUUUGCUUGGUGUUGGGUGUUUGUCCCUCGGGACUCGCCUUAAAGUCAUUGGCAGCCAGUGUUUUGGUUUUGAAGCGCAGCACAAGUCGCGAUUCAAGGCUAUCCCCGCUUCCACAAGCCUUUUUCACUUUUGACCUCGGAUCAGGUAGGGAUACCCGCUGAACUUAAGCAUAUCAAUAAGCGGAGGA
rnacentral:misc_RNA from 1 species